rnacentral:rRNA from 1 species
UACGUAGGGGGCAAGCGUUGUCCGGAAUCAUUGGGCGUAAAGCGCGUGUAGGCGGCCCGGAAGGUCUGAUGUGAAAACUUGGGGCUCAACCCCAAGCCUGCAUUGGAAACCGUCGGGCUUGAAUCUGGAAGAGGAGAGUGGAAUUCCUGGUGUAGCGGUGGAAUGCGCAGAUAUCAGGAGGAACACCAAUGGCGAAGGCAGCUCUCUGGUACAUGAUUGACGCUGAGACGCGAAAGCGUGGGUAGCAAACAGG